rfam:Ktedonobacter racemifer DSM 44963 strain SOSP1-21 Krac_Contig206, whole genome shotgun sequence.
GUCAAUGACCUCCGGUCAGAGACCGGAGGCUUGUGAGAGCCUAGCUUUUGCAAGCCGAUUGACCAGACCCGGUUCUUGAGAGAGCGGUGCCGAGCUUCUCUGCGUCACCGCUCCCGCUGAGAGAACCCCGAUGCUUCCAAGUGUUCAAGAUCGUACUGGCGGGUGCUGCCCCAGCCUACCACCCUACAACGGCUUCUUUAACCAGGGAUGAGGUCAGUCCCCGUGAGAAGCCGAAAGUACCGAGAGGCAUCAUGGUCGAGGGGAAGAGAAA